CGUGAAAUUGUUGAAAGGGAAGCGUUUGGCAUCAGCCCUUGGCGUCUGUCGAACAUCCAGGCUUCUGUCUGGUGCACUCGUCGGUCGUCGGGCCAGCGUCGGCUCUGUCUGUCGGAGAAAGGCCUGGGGGACGUGGCUCACCUUCGGGGGAGCGUUAUAACCCUGGGCGUCAUGCGAUGUGAUGGGGCCGAGGUCUGCGGACUCUGUCCUAGGACGCUGGCGUAAUGGUUCCAAGCGACCCGUCUUGAAACACGG
rnacentral:rRNA from 1 species